rnacentral:rRNA from 1 species
AACGAACGCUGGCGGCAUGCCUAACACAUGCAAGUCGAACGAGACCUUCGGGUCUAGUGGCGCACGGGUGCGUAACGCGUGGGAACCUGCCCUUAGGUUCGGAAUACCUCCCCGAAAGGGGUGCUAAUACCGGAUAAUGUCUUCGGACCAAAGAUUUAUCGCCUUUGGAUGGGCCCGCGUUGGCUUAGCUAGUUGGUAGGGUAAAAGCCUACCAAGGAGACGAUCCAUAGCUGGUCUGAGAGGAUGAUCAGCCACACUGGGACUGAGACACGGCCCAGACUCCGACGGGAGGCAGCAGUGGGGAAUAUUGGACGAUGGGCGAAAGCCUGAUCCAGCAAUGCCGCGUGAGUGAGGAAGGGCUUAGGGUUGUAAAGCUCUUUUACCCGGGAUGAUAAUGACAGUACCGGGAGAAUAAGCACCGGCUAACUCCGUG